rnacentral:pre_miRNA from 1 species
AGCUACCCGCGUGGCCGGAGUGUUUAGACCCUCUAACCCACCUUCCGGGUCUCU